GGCAGGCGCGGGUGAGCAUCCUCUGAGAGCUUGGGUCUUGCGUAUGUGGAAGGCCGCCAGGGAGACCAGUGCCGCCCACCAUGCGAUUUCGACGCUUGACCCCUGGUUACUUCCGGGUGUUACAGAUGCAGGUAGCUGGUGAGCUGAAGGCAGAGCCCCGGAGUCUGCUGGCAGGAGUUGUGGCUACAGUGCUAGCUGUCCUCGGCCUGGGUGGCUCCUGCUAUGCCGUCUGGAAGAUGGUGGGGCAGCGGCGGGUGCCACGGGCCCCGUAACGAAGAAGAGAGACUCUCACUUGGAUGCUGGGGGGCUCGACGCUCAGCUGCUUCAGCCUGGGAGAAAGAAAAACAGGAGUUGGGAGCUGACCAGGUGAGAGCCCUAUCUGCUGAGCACCCAUCCAUCAAUCCUCUCCUUACUCCUUCAUACCUUUUCUUGUGGUCUUUGGAUCGGAAGUGGGUCUUCAGGUUGGUGGAAUCGAUGAAGUACCUCCUGUAGGAAUGGAAGUGAGAAGGAGAGUGAGGAGGUGAUAGUCUCCCAAGUGCACCUAUCUCCCUAGCCCUAGCUUGUCCCUGACGCCAGGAU
rnacentral:lncRNA from 1 species